GACGAACGCUGGCGGCGUGCCUAAUACAUGCAAGUAGAACGCACAGUUUAUACCGUAGCUUGCUACACCAUAGACUGUGAGUUGCGAACGGGUGAGUAACGCGUAGGUAACCUGCCUGGUAGCGGGGGAUAACUAUUGGAAACGAUAGCUAAUACCUCAUAAUAUUGAUUAUUGCAUGAUAAUUAAUUGAAAGGUGCAAUUGCACCACUACCAGAUGGACCUGCGUUGUAUUAGCUAGUAGGUGAGGUAACGGCUCACCUAGGCGACGAUACAUAGCCGACCUGAGAGGGUGAUCGGCCACACUGGGACUGAGACACGGCCCAGACUCCUACGGGAGGCAGCAGGAGGGAAUCUUCGGCAAUGGACGAAAGUCUGACCGAGCAACGCCGCGUGAGUGAAGAAGGUUUUCGGAUCGUAAAGCUCUGUUGUAAGAGAAGAACGGGUGUGAGAGUGGAAAGUUCACACUGUGACGGUAUCUUACCAGAAAGGGACGGCUAACUACGUG
rnacentral:rRNA from 1 species